UACGGAGGGUGCAAGCGUUAUCCGGAUUCACUGGGUUUAAAGGGUGUGUAGGCGGAUAUUUAAGUCAGUGGUGAAAUCGCCAGGCUCAACCUGGAAACUGCCAUUGAUACUAUUUAUCUUGAAUUCUGUUGAGGUGGGCGGAAUACAUCAUGUAGCGGUGAAAUGCUUAGAUAUGAUGUAGAAUACCGAUUGCGAAGGCAGCUCACUAAACAGAUAUUGACGCUGAGGCACGAAAGCGUGGGGAUCAAACAGG
rnacentral:rRNA from 1 species